rnacentral:rRNA from 1 species
AGCAGUAGGGAAUUUUCGGCAAUGGGGGAAACCCUGACCGAGCAAUGCCGCGUGAAUGAAGAAGGUCUUCGGACUGUAAAAUUCUGUUAUUUGUGGAAGAAAGGUAGUUGGAGGAAAUGCCAAUUACUUGACGGUACCAAAUGAGAAAGCCCCGGCUAACUAUGUGCCAGCAGCCGCGGUAAUACAUAGGGGGCGAGCGUUAUCCGGAAUUAUUGGGCGUAAAGCGUGCGUAGGUGGUCAGUUAAGUCUGGCGUGAAAUUCCCUGGCUUAACCAGGGGGGGUCGUUGGAAACUGGCUGACUUGAAUCCAGAAGGGGUAAGUGGAAUUCCAUGUGUAGCGGUAAAAUGCAUAGAGAUAUGGAGGAACACCAGUGGCGAAGGCGGCUUACUGGUCUGGGAUUGACACUGAGGCACGAAAGCGUGGGUAGCAAACAGGAUUAGAUACCCUGGUAGUCCACGCCGUAAACGAUGAGCACUAAGUGUCGGACGAAAGUUCGGUGCUGUAGUUAACGCAUUAAGUGCUCCGCCUGGGGAGUACGGUCGCAAGACUGAAACUCAAAGGAAUUGACGGGGACUCGCACAAGCGGUGGAGCAUGUGGUUUAAUUCGACGCAACGCGAAAAACCUUACCAGGCCUUGACAUCCCUUUGACCGGUGUAGAAAUACGCCUUUUCCCUUCGGGGGACAGAGGAGACAGGUGGUGCAUGGUUGUCGUCAGCUCGUGUCGUGAGAUGUUGGGUUAAGUCCCGCAACGAGCGCAACCCUUAUCAUUAGUUGCUAACAUUAAGUUGAGAACUCUAAUGAGACUGCCAGCGAC